rfam:Schistosoma mansoni strain Puerto Rico chromosome 5, complete genome
AUUCAGAUGACGAGUCCCAAAAAGGGUGAAACGCACGUCCUGGAU